GACGAACGCUGGCGGCGUGCUUAACACAUGCAAGUCGAACGAAGUGGCGAACGGGUGAGUAACGCGGAAUCAACCUGCCCUUCAGAGGGGGACCACAGUUGGAAACGACUGAUAAUACCGCAUACUGAAGAAGGGGAUUGCGGCGGAUUAGCUAGUUGGAGGCGUAACGGCCCACAAGGGCGAUGAUCAGUAACCGUUCUGAGAGGAGGAACGGCAAGAUUGGGACUGAGACACGGCCCAGACUCCUACGGGAGGCAGCAGUGGGGAAUCUUCCGCAAGUGACGAAAGUCUGACGGAGCAACGCCGCGUGAGUGAUGACGGCCUUCGGGUUGUAAAGCGCUGUUAAUCGGGACGCGGUACCGGAAUAGAAAGCCACGGCUAACUACGUGCCAGCAGCCGCGGUAAUUC
rnacentral:rRNA from 1 species